rnacentral:rRNA from 1 species
GACGAACGCUGGCGGCGUGCUUAACACAUGCAAGUCGAACGGAAAGGCCCUGCUUGCAGGGUGCUCGAGUGGCGAACGGGUGAGUAACACGUGGGUGAUCUGCCCCUUACUUUGGGAUAAGCCUGGGAAACUGGGUCUAAUACUGGAUAGGACCAUGCUGUAGGUGGUGUGGUGGAAAGAGUAGGUUCGGUAAGGGAUGAGCUCGCGGCCUAUCAGCUUGUUGGUGGGGUAAUGGCCUACCAAGGCGUCGACGGGUAGCCGGCCUGAGAGGGUGGACGGCCACAUUGGGACUGAGAUACGGCCCAGACUCCUACGGGAGGCCGCAGUGGGGAAUAUUGCACAAUGGGCGCACGCCUGAUGCGGCGACGCCGCGUGGGGGAUGACGGCCUUCGGGUUGUAAACUCCUUUCAGCCAUGACGAAGCCCUUGUGGUGACGGUAGUGGUAGAAGAAGCACCGGCUAACUACGUG